UAAAAACGAAAGUAGAAUUUUUCAGCACAAAUUCGCUAUGUUACCAACAAAUCUGUAGCUGUUAACUUGAAUUUGUGGAAAAAUAAAAUUAUAGGUCAUUUAAAUGUUACUUAUUAAUUUGUAAUAAAGAUUGUUUGGGUUUUAUUUAAAGAAAUAUUGGGGUGAGCAAAAGCAGGUCCCAAUGGGUUUCAUGUACUUCAUUUCAACAAUACUUUCUGCAUGUAGAAACUUUCUUACAAAACAAUUCAGUCUUAUAAACUUUCAGUACAAAUGUAGAAAUAAAAGUGAAAGUUUCUGUUCAAGCAAAGACACUUAAAAAUUAAUUGAUACAGCAUUGCAAAAAAUAAUUACAUGUAGUUAUCUUGAUGCACUUUAUUUUUCAUUUUGCAUCAAAAUUAGUACUUUGCAAUGUUGAAUUUUUUAAGUCUUUGCAUGAACAGAAAAUUUCACAUAUGAAACAAUAAAUUCAUGGCAAAAGUAAAAAUUUCAGGCAAAAAAAGCUGCAUUUAAGUGCCAGAAUGCAGGAUUUUGCGUCAUUUACCCAAGAGCUUCUGGGAGCCUUGAGCGGCCCUCAGACCCCCGGCCGUUCGCAUUGGAUCGCCUUCUACUUUUUCAUUUCAGCCUCCUACUUUUAAAUUUGUUGAAAGCCCUGUACAUGCUGGAAAAAUGUUAUUCAAUUUGAGAAACAUUAAAUAAAUCACAAUAUCCAUUGUACAUGCACAGCAAAUCUUUUAAGUUUAGAACUAAUGCAGGCAAUUUUCUUGAACUCAGACAUAUCAAAUACUCAGGACAUGUUGAAGUGAGCCACUAGUUCCGGUCAUUAUUCUGGAAACCUCGAGUAUCUCAUGCAGGAAAACUGUGAAUACUCCGUUUAAAAUUUCAGUCCUAAGCACAAUAUUUACCUGAUUUAUAUCGCAAUCAGGCAAAUUUUUUACUCUGUUGAACAUAAUGGUAUAACAAGUGGUAGAUUUUCAUUUCCGAUCUAGCCUACCCGGCACUUCUUAAAGUUUGUCGAAAUUCACGUUGUAAUCGAAAAAUGUACAUUCAUUAAAUAGAGGUAAAAUUUCGUGAAAAUACAUGAAAAGGUUGUAAAAAUCAUGGUCGUUGGUCGCGUCAGACAGGUGGUCAUUUAAUACAGGUACAAAAUAUAGAGUAACGUCUUGAGGGGAACUUUUUAUGGUCACAGUCAACAGUGAGUCGCUUAAUACAAUGGGUCGCUAUGGCAGUUUUGACUGUAGUGGAAACUUACAAGAGUGACAUCGGUGUUCAUAUUUGAAUUCAAUUAGAAAUUUUAAAAAAUAAUAAUACCGGGGUAGUUUGGGUUCGGACAUAAAAAUAUUCAAUUGCAAAGUACUAAAAGUCUCUCAAAUUGCACGAAACUCUAAGUUUCCGUCUUGAUAUUGAGAUAUACAAGCACGUACAUGUAGCAUUGUUUUUUAAAGUAGGGGAAGGGUCAGCUGGGGUUCACUUCGCACUUACGAAGGGGGGGGGGGCCAAAGACAAAGAUUAGUUCACUACACGUAUUCUUCAAUUCAGCACUUCCCAUGGGGAUCCGGGUUAGAAUAGGUCCUCAGUAGCCCUUGCUUGUCAUAAUGGGGCGGUCCUUCGGAUGACACCGCAAAAUCCAAGGUCCCGUGUCACAGCAGGUGUGGCACGAAAAAGAUCCCUCCCUGCUCAAAGGCCGUAAGCGCUGAGCAUAGGCCUAAAUUUUGCAGCCCUUCAUCGACAAUGGUGACGUCUCCAUAUUCAGUGAAAUAUACUCGAGAGGGACAUUAAACAAUAUAUGUAAUUAAUCAAUCAAUUCAGCACUUCAAACAUUAACUGCCUUUCAUUACUAAUUUUAAAAAAAUGGGGAGGAGGCAGCAAAUCAAUCGAGCUUUGCAUGUAGAAAAUAUGGGAUUUGUGUGUUAAAAUACAUGUAACGAAAAAGUAAAUUGUAAAAGGGGGACAAAUCAGGCCCCCUGCCCACCCCAACCCCGUUUCAACGUGACUGGUAUAACAUUUACGCAAAAAGAUUUCUUCAGUAGAAUACAAAUAUCUGAGCACCAUGAUUUAAUUCUAGAUGUUUCCUUCUUUGUACUGUAUAUGUAAUUAAUGAUUAUCCACAACAAUCAGCAAAUUUCAAAAUUUGAAAAAAUAAUGGGAAAACCUAUACAUGUAUUUUGUUGUCUUUCAUUUUUUUUAGAGGCGAAAAGUCGCCAGUUAUCGUUUUGUCGUCUUUUCACCUCGAAAUAACGAAUAGACGACAAAUUCUAAAAUGGCACAAAUCAGUCACCACCCCUAAACCAAUUUCAUUUUUAAAAUAAUUCUGGAAACACACUAUUUGAAUUUGGGAAUUUUAGCGCGCUAUUUUGCAUCUGAAUCAAUCUCGAUCACUUGAAAGUUUAUCAUAACAUAAUGAUGUUUGCACAUAACGUAAUGAUGUAACCACAUAACAUAAAGACGUAUUGACAUAACGUAAUGAUGUAACCACAUAACGUAAUGAUGUAACCACAUAACAUAAUGAUGUAACCACAUCACAUAAUGAUGUAACCACAUCACGUAAUGAUAUAUCGACAUAAUGUAAUGAUGUAACCACAUAACAUAAAGAAGUAUCGACAUAACGUAAUGAUGUAACCACAUAAUGUAAUGAUGUAACCACAUAACGUAAUGAUGUAACCACAUAACGUAAUGAUGUAACCACAUAACAUAAUGAUGUAACCACAUCACGUAAUGAUAUAUCGACAUAAUGUAAUGAUGUAACCACAUAACAUAAAGAGGUAUCGACAUAACUUAAUGAUGUAGCCACAUGAUGUAAUGAUGUAACCACAUAACGUAAUGAUGUAACCACAUAAUAUAAAGAUGUAUCGACAUAAUGUAAAGCUGAUUUACACUAUAAGGCAGUAACGGCGUUCCAUAGAACUGCUUUAGUUUUCUGUUUUCUUCAUAUUUUCUGCAACGUUUGUUUUUUGGGUUUGUUUUUUCAUUGUUUUACGUGAUGUGGUUACAUCAUUACGUGAUGUGGUUACAUCAUUAUGUUAUGUGGUUACAUCAUUGUGUUAUGUCGAUAUUUCUUUAUGGGUUUUUUUUUUCCAGUAUAAGUUAUAAUGUCUUUCCUCUUUUUACAGGGGAUGGCGCCCUCAUGGUGUGUUAGGCUUAACAUAGCCGAUUUAGUCCAUAUCAUUCAGAUGCAUUUUUAGAUAAAGAGAUUGAUUGUAGAAACAAGAUUCUACAUGAUCAAGACUGAAAAGGAAGUUGAUAAGCGACAGAUUCGAAAAUGUCUUACACAAUACAGUUGGCCACACUGAUGCUCUGUGCCAAAUAUCAGGGAGUUGCCCCAUGUGGUUCUUGAGAAAACUGUGACAAAUUUUUUGUGACGACGACGCCGCCAGACGACGACGCAGGACGACGGAUAGUGAUCCCUAUAUGUCGCCACUGCGUAACGCAGGCGACACAAUGAACUAUGCACAGACUUGUAAACUAAUUGACUAGGUCCAUUUUGACACGGUAAGCGACAACUCGCACGAUUAUGUCCCAAGAAAGAACCUGCUGCAGAGCCUUCCGAUUCGGAAAAAUCUAUAACUUAGAGACUGACUCUCAAAAUGGCAGCAUUAGGAAAUAAGGAACUGAAGAAUUUACUAUGGAACAGUACUCAUUUGCCAAGGAAUACAGAAACUUUCUGCAGUGAAAUUCCUACUUAUAUUUUUUUUUAAUAUCAACGCCCUGGACAGUGAAUUUAUUUGAGAUUAAAUGAAAUGAAUGCAAACAUAAAUCUACUUCAAGCACAUAGUAUGGUCGGUAUCUAACUUUUUUUAAUAAGUACAAUAUUUGGAAAAAUUAUUUUACAACAUCAAAAAAACCUGGACAGCAAGCAUAUGGAAGCUGAGUAAAAAGGGCUAUGUUAAAUUACUAUGUCAAUGUCAUGCAUCAUUUUUUUUUUUUUUUUAUAAAGAAGAAAAAUCAGGUUAGCUUCCUUACAUUUAUAAUAAUCCUGCUGAAAUGAAGUCAACAACACUUAAUACAACUAAACACCAAAAUCAGAUUAAAACAUGUAUCUUACAACUCACAAGGAUAGCCAAAUAAGUUUCAGGCAACUAUAAGAUUUAGAAAAAAAGCCAAAGUCCAUGGGCCAUAACUCUACUGAAAGUAAAUCAAACUGAGUAAAACUUCAACAUGAUAUGCAACUCAUAUUGAUCAACAUACAAUCAUACAUAAAAAAAAAUAUCUACAGGCACAAGAAAGAAUCUGGAAAAUUACAACCAAGUCAGAAUGAUGGACAGAAGGGCAACACUAUAUGUCGAGGCCAUUUUUAAGGUGAGGACAUACUGCAAGAAAAGAUAAACUGAAUUGUCUGAGAGAGCUAGAAAGUGAUCAGGAUUCGCUAGUAGUGAUGGACAAUCGGGAAAAAAGAAUUAAUUGAUGAUCGGAUUCACCUUUUCGAUCGAUUAAUCGAAAAAUAAUCAAAUUUUAUUAAUUUCAAAUUUAUGUCAUUUAAAUAUAUUAAAUUUACUUUAUUUUUUUACCCUAAAUAUUAAGUUAAUCAGAACAAGAGAUGUUUGUAAAACACAAAUGCCCCCCCCCCCCCCCCCCCCCACCCCCCUCCCCCUGGUGCAAAAUUGAAAAGGGUUAUACACA